UGGGGAAUUUUGGACAAUGGGGGCAACCCUGAUCCAGCAAUGCCGCGUGUGUGAAGAAGGCCUUCGGGUUGUAAAGCACUUUUGUCCGGGAAGAAAUCGCACCUGAUAAUACCGGGUGUGGAUGACGGUACCGGAAGAAUAAGAACCGGCUAACUACGUGCCAGCAGCCGCGGUAAUACGUAGGGUCCAAGCGUUAAUCGGAAUUACUGGGCGUAAAGCGUGCGCAGGCGGUUGUGCAAGACCGAUGUGAAAUCCCCGGGCUUAACCUGGGAAUUGCAUUGGUGACUGCACGGCUAGAGUGUGUCAGAGGGGGGUAGAAUUCCACGUGUAGCAGUGAAAUGCGUAGAGAUGUGGAGGAAUACCGAUGGCGAAGGCAGCCCCCUGGGAUAACACUGACGCUCAUGCACGAAAGCGUGGGGAGCAAACAGG
rnacentral:rRNA from 1 species